GACGAACGCUGGCGGCGUGCUUAACACAUGCAAGUCGAACGGAAAGGCCCUGCUUUUGUGGGGUGCUCGAGUGGCGAACGGGUGAGUAACACGUGAGUAACCUGCCCUUGACUUUGGGAUAACUUCAGGAAACUGGGGCUAAUACCGGAUAGGAGCUCCUGCUGCAUGGUGGGGGUUGGAAAGUUUCGGCGGUUGGGGAUGGACUCGCGGCUUAUCAGCUUGUUGGUGGGGUAGUGGCUUACCAAGGCUUUGACGGGCAGCCGGCCUGAGAGGGUGACCGGCCACAUGGGGACUGAGAUACGGCCCAGAGUCCUACGGGAGGCAGCAGUGGGGAAUAUUGCACAAUGGGCGGAAGCCUGAUGCAGCAACUCCGCGUGCGGGAUGACGGCCUUCGGGUUGUAAACCGCUUUCGCCUGUGACGAAGCGGGAGUGACGGUAAUGGGUAAAGAAGCACCGGCUAACUACGUG
rnacentral:rRNA from 1 species